CAGGCAGAGUGGACAGUGAGAGAGAGAGACAGAGAGAAAGGUCUUCCUUUUGCCGUUGGUUCACCCUCCAAUGGCCGCCGCUGCAGCCGGCGCACCGCGCUGAUCCUGGCAGGAGCCAGGAGCCAGGUGCUUUUUUCUGGUCUCCCAUGGGGUGCAGGGCCCAAGCACCUGGGCCAUCCUCCACUGCACUCCCUGGCCAUAGCAGAGAGCUGGCCUGGAAGAGGGGCGACCGGGACAGAAUCCGGCGCCCCAACCGGGACUAGAACCCGGUGUGCCGGCGCCGCAAGGUGGAGGAUUAGCCUAUUGAGCCACGGCGCCGGCCAAGAGUUCCAAGAUUCUAAUCAUAGCUUGGUCUCUAUUGCCAGCCCCCUUCAUCCUGUUAUCCAGGAGCCCAGCAAGAGUAAUUAUUACAGUAAAAGACUUUCCCAUCAACAGAGACAGUCCAAGGGAUUUAGGUACUCCAGAAGAAAUCUGGAUCAAGGAGAAAAUACUAGGAAAAAAAAAUAUGCUUCCAGAAUCCUUACCAGUCAGGAAAUUAUAAGGGUUUUAGGAGUUCUGCACCAAGAAAUGGAAGCAGAGACAAUAUAUGAGGUAGCUUUAACAAUUUUCUUUUUAACAUUUUAUUUAUUUGAAAGGCAUAAAUACCAAGAGAGAGCUAGAGGCACAGAGAGAGAGAGAGAGAGAGAGAGAGAGAGAGAGAGGAGAGCAAGGAGAGAAGAGAGAGAGAGGAGAGAAGAGAGGAGGAGAGAGAGAGAGAAGAGAGAGAGAGAGGAGAGGAGAAGAGAGAGAGAGAAGAGAGAAAAGAGAAGAGAGAGAGAGAGAGAGAGAGAGAGAGAAAAGAGAGAAGAGAGAGAGAGAGAAUCUUCCAUCUGCCAGUUCAGUUCCCAAAAGGCCACAAGGGCCAGGACUGACCCAGGCAGAAGAGAGGCCAGAAGCUUCCUCUGGGUCUCCAUGGGUGCAGGGCCCCAAGCACGUGGGCCAUCUCCACUGCCUUCCCAGGCCACAGCAGAGAGCUGGAUCGGAAGAGGAGCAGUCGGGACUUGA
rnacentral:lncRNA from 1 species